rnacentral:tmRNA from 1 species
GGGGGCGUACUGGUUUCGACUGGGUGAAAGCGCUCUCCGCGGCAUGUCGAGGAUGGUUCGUGGGCCUCGUUAAUCAUCGGACCGAAACAAACUGCUAACGAAGAAUUAGCUCUCGCGGCCUAAGUGCCGUGACGUCCGCGGCCGGACACCGGCUAGGGCCGUGGGCGCAUGCAGCCGGUGUAGGGGCCUGCCGCGGUCCAGGGCGGCCGGCGCCGAAAAUCUUAUACCGGGGACUGGGCGGCCGGGUUCGGGUCAGGACGUGACCGGCGGCCGAAUACUCUCUCCUGACUAAACAUGUAGUCGCGGCGGGUUCAUUUGCUCAGGACGCGGGUUCAACUCCCGCCGCCUCCACCA